rnacentral:piRNA from 1 species
CACAAGAACAGCACAGGAAAGUUCUGCCCCC